rnacentral:rRNA from 1 species
GUAGGUGGCGAACGUUAUCCGGAAUUAUUGGGCGUAAAGGGUGCGUAGAUGGUUUAGUAAGUUAUCGGUGGUAAAUCGAGGCCCAACCUCGUGGAAGUUGGUAAUACUACUAUACUUGAGUACAGGAGAGGUUAACGGAAUGGUUCAUGUAGGGGUAAAAUCCGUAGAUAUGAAUUAGAACACCAAUAACGGCGAAGGCAGUUAACUAUUCUGUUACUGACAUUGAGGCACGAAAGCGUGGGGAGCAAAAAGGAUUAGAUACCCUUGUAGUCCACGCCCUAAACGAUGAGUGCUAGAUAUUGGAAACUUGAUUUUCAGUGUCGCAAGGUAACCCGGUAAGCACUCCGCCUGGGUAGUACGCUCGCAAGAGUG